AAAUUGAAGAGUUUGAUCAUGGCUCAGAUUGAACGCUGGCGGCAGGCCUAACACAUGCAAGUCGAACGGUAACAGAAAGAAGCUUGCUUCUUUGCUGACGAGUGGCGGACGGGUGAGUAAUGUCUGGGAAACUGCCUGAUGGAGGGGGAUAACUACUGGAAACGGUAGCUAAUACCGCAUAACGUCGCAAGACCAAAGAGGGGGACCUUCGGGCC
rnacentral:rRNA from 1 species